AGUGAACGCUGGCGGCAGGCCUAACACAUGCAAGUCGAACGGCAGCACAGUAAGAGCUUGCUCUUACGGGUGGCGAGUGGCGGACGGUGGAGGAAGACAUCGGAAUCUACUUUUUCGUGGGGGAUAACGUAGGGAAACUUACGCUAAUACCGCAUACGACCUACGUGUGAAAGCAGGGGAUCUUCUGACCUUGCGCGAUUGAAUGAGCCGAUGUCGGAUUAGCUAGUUGGCGGGGUAAAGGCCCACCAAGGCGACGAUCGGUAGCUGGUCUGAGAGGAUGAUCAGCCACACUGGAACUGAGACACGGUCCAGACUCCUACGGGAGGCAGCAGUGGGGAAUAUUGGACAAAGGGCGCAAGCCUGAUCCAGCCAUACCGCGUGGGUGAAGAAGGCCUUCGGGUUGUAAAGCCCUUUUGUUGGGAAAGAAAAGCAGCAGGUUAAUACCCCGCUGUUCUGACGGUACCAAAAGAAUAAGCACCGGCUAACUUCGUG
rnacentral:rRNA from 1 species